GUGAGGAAUAUUGGUCAAUGGGCGAGAGCCUGAACCAGCCAAGUAGCGUGAGGGAUGACUGCCCUAUGGGUUGUAAACCUCUUUUAUAAGGGAAUAAAAUGGUCCACGUGUGGAUCUUUGCAUGUACCUUUUGAAUAAGGAUCGGCUAACUCCGUGCCAGCAGCCGCGGUAAUACGGAGGAUCCGAGCGUUAUCCGGAUUUAUUGGGUUUAAAGGGUGCGUAGGCGGACUUAUAAGUCAGCUGUGAAAGUUUGCGGCUCAACCGUAAAAUUGCAGUUGAAACUGUUAGUCUUGAGUGUACAUAAGGUAGGCGGAAUUCGUGGUGUAGCGGUGAAAUGCUUAGAUAUCACGAAGAACUCCAAUUGCGAAGGCAGCUUACCGGGGUACAACUGACGCUGAGGCACGAAAGCGUGGGUAUCAAACAGGAUUAGAAACCCGUGUAGUCC
rnacentral:rRNA from 1 species